rnacentral:rRNA from 1 species
GCGGCCGUAACUAUAACGGUCCUAAGGUAGCGAAAUUCCUUGUCGGGUAAGUUCCGACCUGCACGAAUGGUGUAACGAUCUGGGCACUGUCUCAACCAUGAGCUCGGUGAAAUUGUAGUAUCGGUGAAGAUGCCGAUUACCCGCGAUGGGACGAAAAGACCCCGUGAACCUUUACUGCAGCUUGACACUGAACUUUGACCUUACUUGUGUAGGAUAGGUGGGAGGCUUUGAAGCUGGAACGCUAGUUCCAGUGGAGCCGUCCUUGAAAUACCACCCUGGUAAUGUUGAGGUUCUAACUCUGUCCCGUGAUCCGGGACGAGGACCGUGUCUGGUGGGUAGUUUGACUGGGGC